UACAGAGGGGGCAAGCGUUGUCCGGAAUCAUUGGGCGUAAAGCGCGCGUAGGCGGCCCGGUAAGUCCGCUGUGAAAGUCAAAGGCUCAACCUUUGAAUGUCAGCGGAUACUGCCGGGCUAGAGUCCGGAAGAGGCGAGUGGAACUCCUGGUGUAGCGGUGGAAUGCGCAGAUAUCAGGAAGAACACCAACGGCGAAGGCAGCUCGCUGGGACGGAACUGACGCUAAGGCGCGAAAGCGUGGGGAGCGAACAGG
rnacentral:rRNA from 1 species